UGCUUUUUGUAGAAGAAAAGCCUUCCCAUGUUAGGUCUUCUCCUCUAUAAGAUGUCAUCAUCAGAGCUGUUUUCAUUUUUCAUAUGUUUAUCAUGUGAUAACUCAUUGCUUCCUUCCUCCACAUUAUUUUUCCAGGUAAUCAUUCUAUUCUUUUGAAGUCAAUCGUUCUUUUGUGUUAUAUACUCGUUUGUUCUGUCAAGUAAUCAGUCAAGUUACAUUUUUGUCAAAUAGAUUGAGUGCUUCCUA